GCCCGCCUAGCUCAAUCGGAUAGAGCGUCAGACUUUUAAGGCGAGGGUUGAACCCUGCGAUUACAUAAUAUCUGAAGGCUGCGAGUUCGACCCUCGCGGUGGGCU